GUACCUGAAUGUAUGCUAAUGAUGGGUGACUUGGGGUGCACGUUUAUAGUUGGGGGGGGGCAAGGGACAGGGGCCAGAGUCCAAUCAGUCAUGCCUAUGUAAUGAAACCUUGGACAACUCUAAGGGUAUUCGGAGAACUUCCUGAUUGUGAAACACACGAUGUAAGGGACGGCGGGGGGCAUGGCCCUCGCCCUCUCCACAGGAUGCCACCCCUCCUCUCCCUCCCACCUUGCCCUGCCCAUCCCUUUCAUUUGGUGUUUCUAAAUCUUAUCUUUUAAAACAAAAUGGUACUUGUAAGUACAGCACUUCUGUGAGUCACUCCUGGCAAAUUACUUAAUCUGAAGGGGAGUUGUGGAAAUCUCUGGAUUUGUCUGUUGGGAAGACACAUGGGUGACCCCAGACCUGUGCUGGCAUCGGUCUUAUGGGAAUGAGCCUAUAACCUCUGGAGUCUAUACUCUAGGUAGUUAGUGUGAGCAUUGAUUGGAGCUCUUAGACACCCAGUUGGCGUUGGAGAAUUGUUACAGUGUACCAUUUGCUAAGUGGGUCAUUAUCUCAAAAAUUUGAGAACACUGCAGACAAGUACUUAGUACAAAAGAACAGACCUUGAAUAUAGAUGGAAGAUAGAUGUUGUGCUACUUUGAAGCACUUUGUCAAGUGAGAGAUAAAACUAUUGACAUUUUUAGAGUUGAAUUGUUCUAGGCCAUACAAAUAUUUACUAGGCUUUCUUUUCUUUUUUUAGACAGAGUCUCACUAUGUCUCCCUUGGUAGAGUGCCAUGGUUCAUAGCUCACAGUAACCUCAAACUCUUGGCCUAAACGAUUCUCUUGCCUCAGCCUCCCAAGUAGCUGGGACUACAGGCGCCCGCCACAAUGCCUGGCUAUUUUUUUUAAUCGCAGUUGUCAUUGUGUUUAGCAGGCUGGGUUUGAACCCCCCGGCCUGCAUGUGGCCAGCACCCUGUCCACUGAGCUACGGGCACUGCCACUAGGCUUACUUUUCAAAAGACAUUUUAUCUUCUUCUUAACCUUAUAAACAAUAAUGAAAAUUAUUUGGGGGUAGAUCCAUCUGAAGGCUCUCUCUUAGCUAAAUUAUUAUGUAUUUCCAUUAAGAUAAAGUCUUAGUGGAUAUUGAAACAAAAUAGCUGCUGCUAUCCAAAUAAGUAUGAAUGUAACACAUUAUGUUUCUUUCAACAGAUUUUUUUUUUUUUUUUUUUUGAGACAGAGUUUUACUUUGUCUCUCUUGGUAGAGUGCUAUGGCAUCAUAGCUCACAGCAACCUCAAGCUCUUGGGCACAGGUGAUCCUCUUGCCUCAGCCUCCCAAGUAGCUGGGACUACAGGCACCCACUACAACACUUGGUUGUUUUUAAGAGAUAGGAUCAUACUCUUGAUCAGUCUGGUCUUGAAUUGGUGAGCUCAAACAAUCCCUCUGCCUCUGCCUCCCAGAGUUCUGGGAUUAUAGACAUGAGCCACCGAGCCCGGCCUUCAACAGAUAUUCUUCUUGCAUUGAUUCUUUUGGAAGAGUUGAUUAUUUUUAUACUUGCUGCAUCUUUUUUUCUUUUUGCCCUCCUCCUUUAGUACACAACAUCUCCAGAUAGGAAAAAGCAUAUUCUUAGAAAUUCAUAUUCACAAUGGCAGAAAUACUCAAGACUUUGAAGGAACAAGAAGCAUCCAUUAUAAAAGGAAUGACAUCAUUCUGGAAGAUGGGGAUAAAAGAUAUUUCUGCUUUAGGACAACGAGUAGAGAAAAGAAGGACAACACCUUUGUUCUUUUAUUUUAUUUUAUUUUAAGAAGGGCAUCACCUUUGUUAUUUUAUUUUAUUUUAUUUUUUAAGAUACAACCUCACUCCAUCAUCCCAGGUAUAGUGCAGUAGCAUCAUCAUGGUUCACUAUGCCCUUAGAUUCCUGGGCUUAAGCAAUCCUCCCAUAUCAGCCUCCUAAGUAGCUGGCACUUCAGACAUGGACUACCACACCAGGCUAAUUCUUUUUCAAAGUUUGUAAAGACUGGGUCUUGCUUUUGCUGAGGCUGGUCUCAAACUCCUGACCUCAAGUGAUCCUUCUGCCUCGGCCUCCCAGAGUGCUAGAAUUAUAGGUGUGAACCACUGUACCCAGCCGGAAGCAUAUUGUUAAAUUUGAACAGGCAUGAAACUUCAAAGCAAUUCAUGUGUCAUAAUAUAACUUAAAUGUUUGUUAAAAGAAUAUAAAUAACAAGUAUUUUUUUUUUCUUUGUAGCAGCUGCAAAAGUAAUGAAGAAAAGAGCUAGUCAGUGUGUGUGGAUAUAGGGUUUUCCUCGUUAGGAUAGUCCUUAUCACAUUGUGGCUUUGUUCUUACCAAAUCAGAAUCCCCUAAUACGGCAUUAAUUUGCAAGUUAAAAUUUUAAUGAAAGACUUGUUUGCCCCACAGAUGCAAGCAGUGGUUUUAGUGUUACUUCAAAUGAGAAUAUUUACUGUAUUUCACUGAAUUGGUUUAUCAAAUCAUGAUUAAAAGGGUAUGACAUAUUUUUCUCAUUUUAAAAGAUGGCAAUUAUAGUCUUAGGAUGAGUAUUUAUAGGCUGCCUUUUGCGUUAGAGAAAACAUCUCAUGUUACCUUAAUAUUUUUAAACUAUAAGAGUCUCUUUUCAAAACACCUUGAGAAAAUUGUGAACAUGAAUAAAAUUAUACAAUUUUUAUUUGGCUAAUUGAAUAACACUUUAGUUCAUUCAAAGUGGUUCAUAGAGACUAUGAUAAUAAGUAGUUCAUUUAUUUUUAAUUGCUAAUUUAAUUUCAGCUGUAACACUUUUAUUUAGGAAAUGACACCAUGGGAGAAGAGAAAUAAAUGUAUAACAGUCUUCGAGAUUCCAUCAGGCACAGGGCUUAUGGCACUAUUCAGAAGAAAUGGGACAAUUCUAUAACUUUAACCUUCAAAUGUAAUGUAGUUACAUUUUUAUUACAUUUGUAAUACAAAUAUAUGUAUCUUUUCUUUUUCUUUCUUGUUUUUUAUUCUGAGAUAGAGCCUUACUCUUUUACCCUGGGUAGAGUGGCAGGGCAUCAUAACUCAGACUCAGACAAUAACCUGAAGCUCUUGGGCAUGAGCAAUCCUCUUACCUUAGCCUGCCAAGUAGCUAGGACUACAGCCAUCCACCACCAUCCCUGGCUAGUUUUUCUAUUUUUAGUAGAGACGAGGUCUCACUCUUGCUCAGGCUGGUCUUGAACUCCUCCUAGAGUGCUGGGAUUACAGGUGUGAGCCACCACGCUUGGCUUCCCCCUCCCACCUCCCACACCUGGCCUCUUUUAUUUUCUUAAUGGGUUAAAUGCAUUACACGAAGGGCUGGGCAUCAAAGCAGAAGUGGCCUGGUACGGAAGUCUGGGUGUUGGUUCUAUGUCCUGCUCUUAGACCAUCCAGCUCUAUGAGCUCCGACUUAGAAGUUAGUGUGGCAUUUCUGGAUUUCAGUUUCCUAUCCUUGGGAAUAAACUCAGGAAUCUCAGAUGUACUGCCCGGCUCCAAAUUUCUCUGAUUCAUUUUAUAAUCUUCAGGGUGUGCCUAGAACAGCAACAUAUGUUGGAUUGUAGUCACAAAAAUGGAUUCCCACUUGUAACUUUGAUGAUAAUUUUUCUGAAUUCCCAUGCAUUUAACUUUAAGGCAGGGUUAUUGGGCCCAGCGUGGUGGCUCACAUCUGUAAUCCUGGCACUCUGGGAGGCCGAGGUUGAUGAAUUGCUUGAGCUCAGGAAUUUGAGACCAGCCUGAGCUAGGGCGAGACACAUCUCUAAAAAAUAGCCAGGCAUAGUGGUGGCACCUGUAGUCCUAGUUACUUGGGAGGCUGAAGCAAGAGGAUCUCUUGAGCCCAAAGAGUUUGAGGUUGCUCUGAGCCAUGAUGCCAUGGUCCUCUACAGAGGGUGACAAAGUGAGACUCUGUCUCAAAAAAAUAAAAAAUAAGACGGAGUUAAUGCUGUGACAGCAGACACCAUUGGUGUCCUUCUCCAUAGCCCCUCUGCCCACCUUAGGCCUGGUGUGGUCUCCUCUGCUGCCCCAGGGCCUUUUUUGGUGCCACAGAAAUGUGUGCAGACCAGAAGCACCAGAGACUUAGUGCCCCCAGGUGAAAGCUUCUACCAGUGAGAGGCAGAAGUCUUCCCAACACGUGAUGGGAUAAUUCGGAGGCACAGCUCUUCUGUCGGUCUCCAGCGGGAUGGACCCCCAGCUGUCCACAGCACUAAUCUGCUCUUUAAUUCACCCUGGACUGGUAAAUGAAUUCCUUUCCUCCACAUCUCACUUUUCCAACUACUGCAUUGUGCUUCCUGGGAUCACCUCCCAAAUAAAUUACUUGCACAUAAUUUCUUAUCUCAGGUUUUGCUUUUGGGAAACCCCACUCCACCGUUGCUGUGAUGAUUAAGUUGAGAACGUGUGUAAUGAACCUACUAAAUCCUACAUGAGGAGCUCAGGACAUAGUAAUUAUUAUUAUCGUAUCUGACGAUUGAGACCGAAUUUCAUGCUUCCAGGAAUGUUUAGGUUGGGCGUCUAUAGUUAAGUAUUGUUUAUAUCCUGCUAAAGAAAAUUUACAUAAUUGUAUGACGUCUAGAAAAUGCAAAGAAAAUUUUGCAAGUGGGAAAAUUCUAAGUGUGAUUAAAAUUUUGGUAUAGAAAAAUAACGUUUGCUGAGGGAUUUUUUCAUUCUUUUACUUUCUUCUUUCUCUUUUUUGUUGUUUCCUACUGACAUCAAAGACAUCAUUAUUCUAUUUCUACAUGAAGUAUCAUGAAUUAAGAUUCCCUUGAAGAACAAGUGGAGGAGUAUUAAUAAUAUGAGACAGCCCGUGCGAGAGGGGGAAUCUCAGGAUGGCUGCUCUGAUUUUACAACUCUUAAUCAAGAAUAGGACAUUGGGAUCUCAGGACGGAUAACAGCCCGUGACCAAAGCAUUUAACUGUAUUGCAGAUGUACAAAUAAUCUCACUGAAGGAGGCGCUGACCUAGGUAACUUUGGAAGUGAGUGUAGUCUAUGCAGAAAUUUCCAAGUUCUUUGCAGAGUGGUCUUAGUACACCUAUGCUCAGAAAUAAUGAACUAUUAAAAAGUAAUGUUCUCUUGUGUCUUCAAAAAGAAUGAGUAAUGUUUGAGUACUUAUUUGUUCUUGCAGGAUUUUCAACAAUGUAAAAAAAAAUUAAAGAAAGAAAAAUAAAAUGCCAUUUUGAGCAUCACCUCAAUUAUGUAAAAUAUUCAGCAUUUUAGAGGAAAUACACCAGAGUAUCAAUGUGCCUUUCUCUGGCUCAUGUCUGUGAUCUCAGCGCUCUGGCGGCCAAGACGGGUUGGAUUACUUGGGCUCAGGAGUUUGAGAUCAGCCUGAGCAAGAGCAAGACCCAGUCUCUACUAAAAAUAGAAAAACUAGCCAGGCGUUGUGCCACACACCUGUAGUCCUAGCUACUUGGGAGGCUGGGGAAAGGGGAUGGGUUGAGCCCAAGAGUUUGAGGUUGCUGUGAGCUGUGAUGCCACAACAGCACUUUAUCCAGGGUGACAGAGUGAGACUUCGUCUCAAAAAAAAAAACAAAACUUUUCUUUGAGAAGUUUGGUUAUUAAAGAUUUGCAGAUUCUUUUAAAUAACUAGUGUACAUAUAAACUUAUACACAUAUAUAAUUUAUAU